rnacentral:rRNA from 1 species
ACAAUGGCAGGUACAGAGGGAUGCUACCGGGUGACCGGAUGCGGAUCUCGAAAGCCUGUCCCAGUUCGGACUGGAGUCUGCAACCCGACUCCACGAAGUUGGACUCGCUAGUAAUCGCGCAUCAGCCAUGGCGCGGUGAAUACGUUCCCGGGCCUUGUACACACCGCCCGUCAAGCCAUGGGAGCCGGGGGCGCCUGAAGUCCGGGACCGCGAGGACCGGCCUAGGGCGAAACUGGUAACUGGGGCUAAGUCGUAACAAGGUACC